GAUUAUAAUGAGGUAAACCAGGUAUUUUUAGACUGAAUACAUAGGUCUAAAAAAGCAAACCCGGGGAACUGAAACAUCUAAGUACCCGGAGGAAAGGAAAUCAAUAUGAUACUCCCCUAGUAGCGGCGAGCGAACGGGGACCAGCCGAGCCAUGAGUGUGAAUAGAAUGUGUUGGAAAGCACAGCCAUAGUGGGUGACAGCCCCGUAUAUGAAGCAUGAUUGGACGUAUUAAGUAGGGCGGAACACGUGAAAUUCUGUCUGAAGAUCGGAGGACCACCUUCGAAGGCUAAGUACUCCUUACUGACCGAUAGCGAACCAGUACCGUGAGGGAAAGGUGAAAAGCACCCCGACGAGGGGAGUGAAACAGUACCUGAAACCGAACGCCUACAAUCAGUUGGAGGGCCCAUGUGGCCUGACAGCGUACCUUUUGUAUAAUGGGUCAUCGACUUAGUGUAUCUAGCAAGCUUAAGCCGUUAGGUGUAGGCGCAGCGAAAGCGAGUCUUAAUAGGGCGACUGAGUUAGAUGCAUUAGACCCGAAACCGAGUGAUCUAGGCAUGUCCAGGAUGAAGGUAAGGUAACACUUACUGGAGGUCCGAACCCACAUCUGUUGAAAAAGAUCGGGAUGAGGUGUGCCUAGGGGUGAAAGGCCAAUCAAACUCGGAGAUAGCUGGUUCUCUGCGAAAUCUAUUUAGGUAGAGCGUCGGACGAAUACCCUCGGGGGUAGAGCACUGAAUGGGUAAUGGGGGCCCACAGCCUUACUGAUCCUAAUCAAACUCCGAAUACCGAGGAGUAAUAUCCGGCAGACACACAGCGGGUGCUAACGUCCGUUGUG
rnacentral:rRNA from 1 species